UUUAGCCAAUCCCAUAAAUCUGUUCUCAGUUCGGAUCGCAGUCUGCAACUCGACUGCGUGAAGCUGGAAUCGCUAGUAAUCGCGGAUCAGCAUGCCGCGGUGAAUACGUUCCCGGGCCUUGUACACACCGCCCGUCACACCACGAGAGUUUGCAACACCCGAAGUCGGUGAGGUAACCUUUAUGGAGCCAGCCGCCGAAGGUGGGGCAGAUGAUUGGGGUGAAGUCGUAACAAGGUAGCCGUAUCGGAAGGUGCGGUUGGAUCACCUC
rnacentral:rRNA from 1 species